UACGUAGGGGGCAAGCGUUGUCCGGAAUCACUGGGCGUAAAGGGCGCGUAGGCGGAUCUUUAAGUCGGGGGUGAAAGCCCAGGGCUCAACCCUGGAAUUGCCUUCGAUACUGAAGAUCUCGAGACCGGAAGAGGUAAGUGGAACUGCGAGUGUAGAGGUGAAAUUCGUAGAUAUCGGGAGGAACACCAAUGGCGAAGGCAGCUCGCUGGGACGGUACUGACGCUGAGACGCGAAAGCGUGGGGAGCAAACAGG
rnacentral:rRNA from 1 species